UUCUUGCAAAAAAAAAUUAUAAUAAGAAACAAAAAAGAAAACAGAAAAAGCUAGGCAUGCAGGGUAGAAAACAUCCUUGCAUUUUCAUAUCAAGAAUUAAGUAAUGCAAUUUACUUCGAAUAGAAAUUAGUGUUGACGUGCAGCUUCUGUACUUUUAUUUAAACUACGUAAGGUAUUGAACUCUGCCUGAUUACUAUCGCCAGUAAACUGGCAUUUGGGUCUGCAACAAAUUUAUUUCUCAAAGAAAAUGACUCUUGAACAAUUUUGACUGUCAGAGAUUUGAGUUGCCGGUCAGUUCUUGCUCAUGUGAGAGAUCUUUUUCUGCCCUUAGACAUUUAAAGACAUGGUGCAGGUCAACAAUGACCGAGGACAGAUUAUGUGGUUUAGCCAUGCUUCACGUCCAUCUUAAGGACAAUGUCAGGCAAGUGAACGCAGAAGCUGUUCUCAAACAAUGGUAUCUUAGUAACAAAGAAAGGUUGAACUAGCAUUCACAGACAGUGACUAGGUUCCACUUUUUGGGCUUUAUUAAAGCGUUGAUAAAAAGUGAGUUAUUUUUAAUGAAGUGUUGACCAAACACACUUGUCCCGCUUUUAAUACGACCGCAAAAAAAAAAUUUUGCGGUCGUAUAUUGGUAUGACGUUGGCAACAUCGUCGUCGUCCGAACACACAUUGGUUUUCACACUCUAACUUUAGUUGAAGUGAAUGGAUCUCUAUGAAAUUUUACCAUAAGGUUCAAUACCACAAAAGGAAGGUUGGGAUUGAUUUUGGGGGUUAUGGUACCAACAGUUAAGGAAUACGGGGCCAAAAAUAAGCAUUUUUGUAACUUCCAGACAUAACUUGUGUGUUAGUGUAUGGAUCUCUCUGACAUUGUACCACAAGGUUCCAUAUCACAAAGGGAAUGCUGGGAUUGAUUUUGGGGGUAAUUGCCUCAAAAUUUUAGGAAUUAGGGGCCAAAAAAGGGGCAAAAAACAAGCAUUUUUCUAGUUUCAUGAGAAUAACUUGUGUGUAAGUGUAUGGAUCUUUCUGAAAUUGUACUACAUGGUUCCAUAUCACAAAGGGAAAGCUGGAAUUGAGUUUGGGGGUAAUUGCCCAAAACGUUUAGGAAUAAGGGGCCAAAAAUAAGCAUUUUUCAGUUUCCAGACAAUUACUUGUGUUCAAGUGUAUGGAUCUCUCUGAAAUUGUACUGCAAGGUACCAUACCACAAAGGAAAGGCUGGGAUUGAUUUUGGGGGUAAUUGCCUCAAAGUUUUAGGAAUUAGGGGCCAUAAAGGGGCAAAAAAACAAGCAUUUUUCUAGUUUCAGGACAAUAACUUGUGUGUAAGUGUAUUGAUCUUUAUGAAAUUGUACUACAAAGUUCCAUAUCACAAAGGGAAAGCUGGGUUUGAGUUUGGGGGUAAUUGCCAUAAACGUUUAGGAAUUUGGGGCCAAAAAGGGGCCAAAAAACAAGCAUUUUUCUACUUUCCUGACAAUAACUUGUGUUCAAGUGUAUGGAUCUCUCGGAAAUUUUACUGCAAGGUACCAUACCACAAAGGGAAGGCUGGGAUUGAGUUUGGGGGUGAUGAAUCAUAAGGGGGUUCAAAAAAUUUGGGGGGGGGGAUUUUUUUUCCUUUUUUUUCUUUAAAAUUUUCCAUUUUAAAUUGGUUAUUUCUGAUUUAUAUAUAAAAGCAAAUAAUAAUGAUAUGGUUUGAAUAGGUAAAUUAAAAAUUUUUAAGUUCUUAAA